rnacentral:tRNA from 1 species
GAGGGUGUAGCUCGGCGGUAGAGCGCACGCCUAGCAUGCACGAGGUCCUGGGUUCACUCCCCAGUGCCUCCA